rnacentral:rRNA from 1 species
GACGAACGCUGGCGGCGUGCCUAAUACAUGCAAGUAGAACGCUGAAGGAGGAGCUUGCUCUUCUGGAUGAGUUGCGAACGGGUGAGUAACGCGUAGGUAACCUGCCCGGUAGCGGGGGAUAACUAUUGGAAACGAUAGCUAAUACCGCAUAACAGUAGAUGUUGCAUGACAUUUGCUUAAAAGGUGCAGUUGUACUACUACUAGAUGGACCUGCGUUGUAUUAAUUAGUUGGUGGGGUAACGGCUGACCAAGGCGACGAUACAGAGUCGACCGGGGAGGGGGGUCGGCCACCCUGGGACUGGGACACGGCCCAGACUCCUACGGGAGGCAGCAGUAGGGAAUCUUCGGGAAUGGACGGAAGUCUGACCGAGCAACGCCGCGGGAGUGAAGAAAGUUUUCGGAUCGUAAAGCUCUGUUGUAAGGGAAGAACGAGUGUGAGAGUGGAAAGUUCACACUGUGACGGUAUCUUAUCAGAAAGCGACGGCUAACUACGUG